UAAGCAAAAUACAAGUGCACAUCCUGCGACAACUAGGUGUAUUUUGCCACUUGGGAAGCAUCACUAUUCAGUACAUACUAAGUGCAUAGUGUACAAGAAACCUGAGUACAAAGGAAUGGAAAUCUUGGGGGAAUGAGGAUCUCUGCUCUUCGUAAAGAUUUGAUUUUGGCAUUGCUGGCAACAGCCAGAUUAGAAUUUAUUCAGCUCUGGAAAAAUCUGAAUAACCUUAACAUUUCUAAUUGCCACAGUACAUGAUUCUGCCAAUGGAUCCUUUGAUGAAACAGACUCACAAACUGGGUUCUAAUUUUUCCUAAUAAGGGAACCUUAGGCAGCUGUGCUGGUAAUGGGACCAUAGAAGGCCUACUCUGAUGAUUUUAUACUCAUGGGAUUUCUGACAGAUUACUAAAAAGUGCUUCAGCUAUCACAUAGUACCUUCUCUUCAAAGGGAUGGAUGAACACUGAAUUUCAACCAACUCUCUCCAGUGGUAGAAACAAUCAGCCCUAAAAGACAAUGGUUAUGUGGUCAACAGGUUAUCAAGGUGAAAGAAAAUAUAAAAUUAUUCCUUCAAAACAGGAUGGAGCAUAUCUAGCUGGGCAGCGUGGGUGCAAAAGCAACAGAUGCCUACCCAAGCACUCUGGCCACUUUUUCUGACAACGAGAAUCAAUUGCUGAACAACAUCUUCGCUCUGCCUUUGAUCUUGAUAUCAUUCUCUUGUUUAAAAGACAUUGCUAUGUUGAAAUAUGUCAAAGAACGGUACUGUUGACCUAAUGCAAGUUGCUUUGUUACUCAUCAUUUAGAUAAAGGCACUCUAUAAAUGCCACUUUCAGAUGUCCUCACUAUAUAGUUUGACAUGAGGUGCCCAAAUUUAAUGUCCUGAAACUCAACAGUCAAAAAAUCAUGGGGAUUCUGUGGCCCACCCAAACAACAGCCCUCUCUGCUACUUGAUCCUCAGAGUUUCCCAGUCCUCCAGAGUAGGUUUCUAGCAUUGUUUGGGCAUAUCAGAGGCUGCAGGAGAAGCCCCAUCUCACCUCCACUAACACUUGCAGAAAUAAUUCUGCAAUUUCCAUGUCUUAAUGGAAACAGUCUCCAGGUUUAUAUAUAUUGUCUCCAACUAAUUCCUUCCUUACUGUUUCCACAAAAUAUUUUAGGCUUCCUGUCAGCUUGUGAUUCAUUUUUCUUUUUUCAUAUGACAAUUUUUGUAAUGUGAAUGUUGGAAAAUUUACAAAUAAACAGUGACUUCAAACAACAAGCUUAUCAUGUUACAUUUAAAUAUAUUCCAUUGCAUAUCUCCAGUUGUAAGUGUUGAUGAAUUAAUGUUUCAUUUUUGCAGAGCUAUUUUUCUAGCUCAUUACAAAAAGGGAUGUUUGAGCACUUUCAUAAGAAAUGAUGAUUGCUAGGCUAAGAAGGAAAUUAUUCUUUUUGUUCUUUUAUGGAAGCAAAAAAGAUACAAACUGAGAUGAUGGUACCAGCGUCAUUUUAAUUCUGAACUAGCAAUCCUUAGGAUAAUUAUAGAAAGUAAUAGCUUCAGCUUAAACAAAUACAUUUUUUAUUUGACUGCAAAUAAAGUUUUUGGAAUUGUAUAAAAAGGUAACAAAAUGGUUAUCAUAUUAUUAGGAAACACAGAAACAAGCUCCAGUUUGUAUUAUGUGAGCACUGAUUUCUUUAUCGUUUUAUUAUGGACAAA